rnacentral:rRNA from 1 species
AGAGUUUGAUCAUGGCUCAGAUUGAACGCUGGCGGUAUGCUUUACACAUGCAAGUCGAACGGGCUUGGGGGCUUGCUCCCGGGUUAGUGGCGAACGGGUGAGUAAUAUAUCGGAACAUAUCCGGAAGUGGGGGAUAACGUAGCGAAAGUUACGCUAAUACCGCAUAUGCCCUGAGGGGGAAAGGGGGGGAUCGCAAGACCUCUCGCUUUCGGAGUGGCCGAUACCGGAUUAGCUAGAUGGUGAGGUAAAGGCUCACCAUGGCGACGAUCCGUAGCGGGUCUGAGAGGACGACCCGCCACACUGGAACUGAGACACGGUCCAGACUCCUACGGGACGCAGCAG